CUUUGUUGUGUUGUAGGGGUCAAUCUCCUUCCAGGCUCUCUCACCACCUUCCAAGGAUUCUAUUAACUUUUCCAUUUCCUGCCUCAGAUUUCAAUCCAAGGGCGAAUGGCAGAAGAGGACCAGCAUCAGAUACACCGAUCCAAGCAGAACCAAAGACAGCUUAAUUCUAUGAAGAAAUCAUGGUCAACAGACUCUCUUGCAAGUCUCUCGGGAAGCAAACUUUGCCUCUGUGCUCCAACAAAGCACGCUGGCUCGUUCCGCUGCAAAUAUCAUCGACACCCAUCAAACCUGAACCAUAUUCCAAUGGCUCAUUCCAAGCUCUCCAGUUCAGCAGAAGCAGCAGAAACAGCAGAAGCCAAGUGAAUCACUCGAGUCCCUUGACACAGGCGACUCUGUCCAGUUGAUGGGGACUGAGUAACUGGUGUGAAACUAGGUAGUUUUUUCUGAGUCCCAAUUUGUGCAUAUCUUCCCAUUUUGAAAUAAAAUGAUGCAUGGAAAUGAGAGAUUGUGAAAUAAGUUUGGCUUCCAGCUUCAGAUUGUAAGGAUACACCUUCUUCAGUUGUAAACGAACACAUUACUUCAAGAGAUAAAUUUCCCUCUAUUGAGCAAA